GACGAACGCUGGCGGCGUGCUUAACACAUGCAAGUCGAACGGAAAGGCCCUGCUUUUGUGGGGUGCUCGAGUGGCGAACGGGUGAGUAACACGUGAGUAACCUGCCCUUGACUUUGGGAUAACUUCAGGAAACUGGGGCUAAUACCGGAUAGGAGCUCCUGCUGCAUGGUGGGGGUUGGAAAGUUUCGGCGGUUGGGGAUGGACUCGCGGCUUAUCAGCUUGUUGGUGGGGUAGUGGCUUACCAAGGCUUUGACGGGUAGCCGGCCUGAGAGGGUGACCGGGCACAUUGGGACUGAGAUACGGCCCAGACUCCUACGGGAGGCAGCAGUGGGGAAUAUUGCACAAUGAGCGGAAGCCUGAUGCGGCAACGCCGCGUGCGGGAUGACGGCCUUCGGGGUGUAAACCGCUUUCGCCUGUGACGAAGCGUGAGUGACGGUAAUGGGUAAAGAAGCACCGGCUAACUACGUG
rnacentral:rRNA from 1 species